GUCCCCAUAGUUUAAUGGAUAAAACAGAGGCCUCCGGAGCCUCAAAUGAGGGUUCGAUUCCUUCUGGGGACA
rnacentral:tRNA from 1 species